rnacentral:rRNA from 4 species
GUAACAAGGUUUCCGUAGGUGAACCUGCGGAAGGAUCAUUGU